ACAUUGUAUGUACCCUAGUGCUUAAAACAGUGCUUGUCACUUAGCAAAUACCAUAAUUAUUAUAAUGUAGUAAGCCCAUAGGAAGCUAUUUUCAGAGUGACUGUUUUUUGAUCCCGCAAAUUCUCCAAGGAACUAGGCUGCUCUUCUCCAGGACGGAUCACUGUAAAGGCGGUCUGUGGGGUGGAGCAUGAAGGGAAAAGUGGCCCUCCCUCCCAGUUCUACCCAGGAACGGGCUUGGACCAAUCAACAACUGCCACGUGGAGCCUCUAAGAUGCCCAAGUUUGCCAAGCAGCAGCUGUAAAUACCAAAUGGAAAUGAUGAAGCUCUAGGAUGGUCAGGUCCACUCAUACAGAAUUUCUGCUUACCUCAGUAGAACUCUUCUCACUGAGACAUUUGAGUAGAGUGAAUAACAGAAGGAUACCCAAAGAGCUACUGCAGACAUGCCUGGGAAGUUCUAGUCUGAAUCAGUGACUGGCAAGCAAUCGUAGAAAUUUUGGCCCGAAACUCCCACUGAAACUUGGAGAUUUUUAAAGAUCCCAGCUCUUCAAACAUUCUCUCACAAGAUUCUUUCAACUGCGCUUUCUUUCUGGGACUCUGGAGAGCAUAAGCUGCUGGAAAUCUAAUCAUCUCUCAGUUACUAAUGUACUGUGUGAUCUGGGAUGAGGCACUUAACCUCUCCGAAUUUCCCUGUCCUCAUUGAAGAGGAGGAUAACAAUGCUACUCCCUCCCAGAUGACGAGAGGAACGAUUAGGAAAAAAUAAGCCCUAAACUGAUGAAAAAUGGGGUAUUCCCUGAAACUAGGUGCUGGCCCUUCCUGAUCCCAAGUGCUUUGCCGAAUUAUGGGGCAUUUUAUAUAAAAUUGAGUCCCUCAUGAAUUGGGUCUGAGUGUGUAGUUUUGCUGAAGACAAAGCAUUUUUGUUUUCCUGCAGAAUGAUUGUCCUGAGUGAUAGCCAUGAAUACAUCUUCUUUACUUCCAAUCCUUGCUGGCUUUUCCCCAACCCUAUAGCAUCCCCUAAUUGAAGUUUUAUUAGGUAGGGACAUCUUUAUUGCUGCUAGACAGAGAGGGCUCUCUGGUUGGGUAGAGAAUAGCUUGAACUGCUCCACUAAGGAUUAUGUUGAGGUGUUUUAUUAUCUGUGUCCCAAGCUUCUCUCCUCCUGCUGCCCAUGUGCUGAUGGGACUGAUGACUUGUGACCCUAACUUGUGCAAGCAUUCUCCCUCUCCUUCCUCUCUCUCUGUUUCUCUCUCUCCUCUCUCUCCCUCCCCUGUCCCCCAAACUGAUGGCACUAAGGAGGCAGCUGUCAGGGGCAGAAUUUGAAAUUUUUGCUUCACUUCUGAUUCAUUUAUCAACUCCCCUUCAUGGCAAAGAUAUGGAAAGUCCUGUUAUUGCACUUCCCAAAUCCCCUCCCCAUACCAAAUGCCACCUAUGGAAACUGCUAGAGUAGUAGUCAUAACAGUCACAGUAGUAUCAUUAAUGGUAUUUAUUGAGGGCUUACUACGUGAAGAGCACUGUACUAAGCACUUGGGAGAGUACAGUACAACAGAGUUGGGGGACAUGUUCCCUGCCCACAAUGAGCUGUCUAGAGGAUAAAUUUACAGUCUGGAGGAUGGGUUUAUGAGUACCUAGUGGGUGCCAUGUCCUCAACUAUGCACUUGGGAAGUACAAAACAAGGUGCCAAUGAAGAGGUUACAUUCUAAUGGGGGAAGCGCUGUCGGAGUACUUAAUUGGCUUGUCCCCUCCUAUCUCACCUCACUACUUUCCUUCUACAACCCAACCUGCACACUUCGUUCUUCUAAU